rnacentral:sRNA from 1 species
GCCGGUGCCCUCAGGGGUCGGCAAGGUCAAGGAGCGCAUCCUUGGCGCUCCUCGUACCCAUGUUGCUCAGCAAUGGAGGAUAUGGCUAUGAGAA